AGAAAAGGCUGACCAGCCUCUGGUUCCUGUAACGGUCAAGUGAUUGGAGUACCUUUCCAGUUUGGAAACAUCUGGGCAGGCCCAGAUUGAACAGGAUCCAUGGGGAAGUACCAAGCCUGUCCCAUCGGCCAUCCUGUGUGUCAUGUCCUGUGACCCAGUGGAUGCUCAGCAUCCUCCAGCUGAAGAAACAAUUUGCCUUAGAUACAUGAA